rnacentral:rRNA from 1 species
CAAUAGCGUAUAUUAAAGUUGUUGCAGUUAAAAAGCUCGUAGUUGGAUUUGUGGCGUACGGUGUGUUCCGGGCACUUGUUGUCUGAGUAACCUGCUGUUGCCAUCCUUGGGUGGAACCUGUGUGGCAUUAGGUUGUCGUGCAGGGGAUGCCCAUCAUUUACUGUGAAAAAAAUUAGAGUGUUCAAAGCAGGCUUAUGCCGUUGAAUAUAUUAGCAUGGAAUAAUGAGAUAGGACUUUUUUGCUAUUUUGUUGGUUUGCGCAAAGAGGUAAUGAUUAAUAGGGACAGUUGGGGGUAUUCGUAUUCCAUUGUCAGAGGUGAAAUUCUUGGAUUUUUGGAAGACGAACUACUGCGAAAGCAUUUACCAAGGAUGUUUUCAUUAA